rnacentral:snRNA from 1 species
GUGCAGCACAUAUACUAAAAUUAGAAGAACACAAAGAAGAUUAGUGUGGCCCCUGCAUAUGGAUGACACCCAAAUUCAUGAAGCAUGCUAUAUUUUU